UACGUAGGUGGCGAGCGUUGUCCGGAUUUACUGGGCGUAAAGGGCGUGCAGGCGGUUUGUUAAGUGCAGGGUGAAAAAGCUCCCGGCUCACUGGGGAGAGUCCUGCAUACUGGCGAACUCGAGGGAGGCAGAGGGAAAUGGGAAAUUUCCCGUGUAGUGGGUGAUUUAUGCGUAGAUAUUUGGGAAAGAAACACCAGUGGGCGAAAGGGCGGCUCACUGGGCCCGUAAACUGACGCUUUGAGGGUGCCGAAAGGCGUGGGAGCAAACAGGG
rnacentral:rRNA from 1 species